GACAGAGGGUGCAAACGUUGCUCGGAAUCACUGGGCGUAAAGGGCGUGUAGGCGGGAAUGUAAGUCGGGCGUGAAAUCCCUAGGCUCAACCUAGGAACUGCGUCUGAUACUGGAUGGCUUGAAUCCGGGAGAGGGAUGCAGAAUUCCAGGUGUAGCGGUGAAAUGCGUAGAUAUCUGGAGGAAUACCGGUGGCGAAGGCGGCAUCCUGGACCGGCAUUGACGCUGAGGAGCGAAAGCCAGGGGAGCAAACGGG
rnacentral:rRNA from 1 species